GCCGGCAUAGCUCAGUUGGUAGAGCAGCGCAUUCGUAAUGCGAAGGUCGGGGGUUCAACUCCUCUUGCCGGCACCA
rnacentral:tRNA from 2 species